rnacentral:rRNA from 1 species
UACGAAGGGGGCGAGCGUUGUUCGGAUUUACUGGGCGUAAAGGGCGCGCAGGCGGCUUUGUUUGUCAGGCGUGAAAGCCCCGGGCUUAACCUGGGAACUGCGUUUGAUACGGCAGGGCUAGAGUUCGGGAGAGGAGAGUGGAAUUCCCAGUGUAGAGGUGAAAUUCGUAGAUAUUGGGAAGAACACCGGUGGCGAAGGCGGCUCUCUGUACCGAUACUGACGCUGAGGCGCGAAAGCGUGGGGAGCAAACAGG